CCUACGUGGGGCAGCAGUGAGGAAUAUUGGUCAAUGGCCGAAAGGCUGAACCAGCGAAGCCGCGUGAAGGAAGAAGGACUUCUGGUCUGUAACCUUCUUUUAUAGGGGAAUAAGGGUACUCUCGUAUGCAUCUGUGCAUUUACCCUAUGAAUAAACAUCGGCUAACUCCGUUCCAUCAGCCGAGGUACUACGGUGGAUGCGAUGGUUACCCGGAUUUAUUGGGUUUAAAGGGAGCCUAGGUUGUUUUUUAAGUCAGCUGUGAAAUGUUUGGGCUCAACCAUAACAUUGCCGUUGAAACUGGAAGACUUGAGUGUGUGUGAGGUAGGCGGAAUGCGUGGUGUAGCGGUGAAAUGCAUAGAUAUCACGCAGAACUCCGAUUGCGAAGGCAGCUUGCUAAGCCAUAACUGACACUGAGGCACGAAAGCGUGGGGAUCAAACAGGAUUAGAUACCCGAGUAGUC
rnacentral:rRNA from 1 species